AUUGAACGCUGGCGGCAGGCCUAACACAUGCAAGUCGAACGAGUGGCGGACGGGUGAGUAAUGUCUGGGAAACUGCCCGAUGGAGGGGGAUAACUACUGGAACCGGUAGCUAAUACCGCAUACCAUAGUAUGUGCCCAGACGGGAUUGGCGAGUAGGUGGGGUAGCGGCUCACCUAGGCGACGAUCCCUCGCGGGUCUGAGAGGAUGACCAGCCACACUGGAACUGAGACACGGUCCAGACUCCUACGGGAGGCAGCAGUGGGGAAUAUUGCACAAUGGGCGCAAGCCUGAUGCAGCCAUGCCGCGUGUAUGAAGAAGGCCUUCGGGUUGUAAAGUACUUUCAGCGGGGAGGCGUUACUCGCAGAAGAAGCACCGGCUAACUCCGUGCCAGCAGCCGCGGUAAUAC
rnacentral:rRNA from 1 species